GCUUGGAACUAUUUUCUGCUGAAGAGGUGCCAUAUAUCACUACGCACUUGAGCCUCUUCACAUGCCCCACCGGAACAGAGCGCGACCGUUACUUCUUCUGGCUGAAGGUGGUGUUUUCCCGAGAACAGAGACAGAAAACCAAGAAGUACAGACAGAAGAGGAGUUGAUCUUGACUUCCUGGUUUGUGACACAGAGUAGAGAGAUUAAGAGGCUGUAAGAAAAUGCUCCCUCCAGCCAAGUCCUCAGGAUUCUGAAGUUGAGGAUGAGAUUAAGGUGUGGCUACGGAAUUCAAGAGACAGCGGGUGGACGAAUGGAGCGCUAGCAAGAGACUUUGGGGGAAGAGUGAGCUUUGCCAAUCAAUACAUCACCUCAAUUGAAGUAUGGACAUGUUAGCAGCACACAAGAAUAUAUUUUCAGCAUCAGAGGUCAGAGUUUUUGCAGUUUUUGCUUUUUCUUUGUUUGAAGUAUGGGCUGAAAAAUGUGUCACUAGUAACUGAAUUUGAAUCAUUCAUAUUUGAAUUUUGACUGCAGUUCCUCUCAUGUUCCGUUGACCAUGUUUAGUAGGAAGAGCUAGGGGGUCACGAACAAUAGAUAUCAAUAGAUCACCAGGUGAUUUCACUGAUUACCUCACCUUGUAUCAGAAAGGAGGAACCAAUCAGUGAAAUCACCUGGUGGAGGUUUCGGUUGGAAUGAAAACCUGCAGCCUCUUGGCCCUCCAUGGCACCAGUUUGACAACCCUGUCUUAAAUGAAUAAGGCUGCAAUGUGCAGAGUAGAGCAUUUUUCAUUCAGUGUAAUGUGUUUGUAUUUAAUAAAUGAAUUGAUUGGAAUCCUUUUGACUAUUGUACAUUUUUGACAAUGCAUACA